GGUGCUGGGGAGCAGGCAAGGCUGCCAGGGGGCUGCUGGCCCCACCUGGAGCAGGGAUGGUGGCAGUAGUCUGCCCGUCUCCCAGGGUCUUUGCUGGGCAGAGCUGGGGUGGCUGCAGCAGGGGUGAUGCUUGGCAGGUUUUGGGAGGUUCACUGCUGCGUGCUCUUGGGGGUGUGGGAAAGUGGGCUGUGCACCGUUGUUGGAUGUCCCUUUUGAGCAUGGGUACUGGUGGAACUCAGGAGUCUCCAAAGCUGUCAUGCCAGCCUCCCAGUGCAGCUCACCCCCUUCUCUCCUGGGCAGGUCAUGGAUGGGAAUGAACGUUAAACCCGAGACAUAAUCUCCGCUGUGGCAGGCGCUGGCCUCUGUCCAGCCCUGACCCGCCCUGCCCACAGGGCCACUGAUAACACUCUGCCUGCACCCCUCUAUUGCCACUUCCUUUGGGGGGCCCUGUGGGAUGUAGCUCCAGCCCCCCUUUUGCAGGGUGUCUCUCUGCCCCGGCUGUGUAGAACUCACAGUCAGGUAGCAGAGGUUACCCGGCACCAAGGUGACAGUGCCUGUGCCCCACGAUGCACCCAUGGUUGAGAGGGUGGCACACAGGGGGUGGGAGGGCCCCUGCUUUCUGCAGCCUCAGGCCCUGUACUGCACACCAAGGGACAGGCGUUGUGUAUGCAGCCAGGUUUCUGCAGUACAGCCCAGGUGGCUGUACAUAGUUCUUGCAGCCCAAGCCAGGCUGGGACAUUCUACAGCAGCCAAUUGCACCAGCCUCUGCUCUGAUAUGUGCAUUCUCCUCCAGCUACGGUCUUGUACACCCUGGGGGUCUCCCUUACAGGACAGAGGUUGCCCCUGCCUGCUGUGAGUAGCUGCAGGAUGGUGGGUGCCAGCUUUUGCCUACACCAGUUCCUGCCUCCAUACUAGGAGCCCGUGGCAACUCGUGGCAUUGCAGGCAUGCAACUCUGCUGGGCACGAGGCAGGUCCAGGCACCCCGACCUGCCUGCUUCGACUGGCCCGGGGUGAGCCCGGGGCAGCUGCGGGCAGGGGCAGGCAGGAGCACGGCAGCAGGAGCUCUCUCCCUGCUGGGGAUGGCAACGCGGGGCUGCUGGAGGAACCUGAUGUGGGAAUGGGGGUGCUGCCUGGGUAUGGAGAGUGCCAGGCUGCCAAAAGUCCUUGUGGAGGGGCAUUUCCCUGCUGAGGCUGGGGAGAUGUCAUUAUGCUCCUCCCAGCUUGGUGCCCCUGCCAAAUCCUUCGGGCAGCCACGGCAUGCCGAGUCGCCCUGCCUGCUGCCAGCGCCUGCGCAGCAGGAGGCUUGGACGGUGCCAGGGUUCCCCCCCAGAGCCCCAGGCUGCCCCCGAGUGGCAUAGAUGGGGCUCUGUGUCAGUCCCUACAGGAACUGGACCUGGAGCUGUGGGAGCUGCCAUCACCAUCCCACCGUGGCUGUGUCCCUGCUUGGCCUAGCUGGUGGGGAGGAGGCAGCUGCUAACAGGAAGGACACGCAUGUUAGCAACAAAAACACGGCAGUGAGAGGAAGCAGAAGCAAUGCAUUAUUGAUGGAGCUAUUUGAUGCUGCUAUAUUCGGAGAGCUGCUCCGGAGUGUUCAGCAGCACCGUGUGGGGGGGUGGCAGAGGGUGGGCUCAGCUGGUGGAGUUACCUGCUUCGAGUCAACCAUGUACAGCCGUGGCCCUGUAAGAUGUCCCUUACCUUCUCCCAGGGGAGCUUCUAGUGUGGGAGGGCACAGUGACAUGUGGCUACCAGGAGAGAUGGCAGCCUUAGUAGGUGGGGGUUUGGUGGGUGGCAGCUCCUGGCUAUGUAAGUCUCUUAUGGAUGCCAAGGGUCCUCUGUGGCUUGAGAGACAAGAGUGGAGGGAAUGCGGGGGGAACAGUGGGCCAGGCACCAGGGUGCUCUCUGACCAGGGCUGAGUUUCUGUAGUUGCAGGGCUAGGUGUUGAGGAUUUGGUUGUCUUUGAAGCAGCAAUGCCUGUCCCUUGGAAGGUAGAUGGUCUUCUUGGGGGACAGAGGUCAGGCACAGGAUGCUGGGGCUGUGCAGCCAUGCUGCACGUCACCCCCUCCCUGCUGUGGGUUCCCAGGCCGGGAAAGGGGCUGUAAAACGAACCAUUCUUGUAACAUGAGAGAAUCCACCUGGAGGCUUUGGAGGAGCCUUAAAACCCUGCAGCUCUGGCAGGCUGACCCUGGGCUUCUGCAGGGGAACUGGGGCUCACUGCUGUGGGUGGUCAUCCUGGGGCUGAGGUCUUGCAGGAUGUGCAUUUUGACAUCUCAGGGACAACACAGGAACGCUGUGGGGCAUUUCUCUGGUGCUGGUGCCAUGGGGAAACCCCAUUCUAGCAGGAUGUGUCAAAGCUUGCUUGUGGACUGCACCUUCCCCUUGGAGCCUGUGGGCAGCCCAGUGGUCAUGAGAUUGACCCACGACACCAGAACAAGGCGUGAUGUGAGGGUGGACACCCCAUAUGAACCUCAUGCACUCUGGGGUUCUGCACCCCGCUGUUACCUUUCUCCACAUCCUAUUGUUUUGGAGAGGACAGGCACCAGUGCAUGCACUUGGUUGCUGCUUGUCCACUGCUCACAUACUCAGAUUGAUUCCUCUGUCCUAUGCAGGAUGCUCAAGAUGUGGCCCUGUAACUUCUCAUCCUGCUCUCAUGCUCUGGCAGCUUUUCCCCAGCCCCUUGGCUUUAUUUUUGCCUCUGGGUGUCUGGAAGUGGUUCUGGUUUUGAAGGGUUAAUCCCAGGAGCCCCCAGGAUCUGCUGCCUGCCUGGCAUGACUCACAGUGUAGUUUCCAGCCUCCCCCAAACCUCCUCUGGAGAGAUGGAUCUGUGGCUUCUCUAGCCAAAAAUGGGGGCCCCUCCUGCUACAGAACUCCCUUUUUAUCUGGUCAUGCAUAGCUUUAGGGAGGAGAGAAGCCCCUCCUUGAGAAACAGGGAAACAAAGCAUAUUUCUGUUUGAAGGAUGGUAGGAUUUGAGGGAUUGGCUCUUGUGUUCUGGAAAGGGGGGGGCUCCAGUAUGCAUGCUGUGCUGCAGGCUGCAUCUGCAUACAUGCAAUGGUGCCCAGGUCUGGCUGCUGUUUGGACAAGUCCGUGAGGUUUGGAAGUGCCAGACCAGUCCAUCUCCCAGUGCAGGCUGUGCUGUUUGCAGAGCUAGCAGAUUUUUAUUAUUAUUUUUUAUGUAAGCGCGUGUCCGCGUCCUUGCUCUACGCCUGCGCUUGCCAGGGCCCCGGCCGGGUGUCAGUGUGAGCAUGCCCUGCCUCCUGCCCUGCUCGCCUGGGAUCCCUCAGGCACACUCUGCAGGCACACCAAGCCAUAGCCACAGGGAUCAGAGACCUCCACAUCCCCUGGCUAUGCUGGUCCCCACCGGGCUCUUCCCACCCGUUUGCCUGGGAUGUGUCCUGUGCUCACUCCUGCUGCUGAGCUGCUGCCAGCUCCUGGGCUCAGACCUGUACCGGCUGUUGGAUCAGGGCUGGGCUUUGGGGAGACCAGGCAGGCAUGGGGCCCUUGCUAGGGGGAGAGUGGAGGCUGUGAUCUGGGGGAUGUAGUGCCCUACCACAAAAACUGGGUAGCCCUCUGCUCCCCUCACAGUGUGGGCAUGAGCACUUUGUGAGGAAGGGGCUCCCCCACACCGUUGCUGCCACACACGCUUCCCAGCUGCAUCCCAGCCCUUCUGCUCUCCAUCCAGCAUCUAUUUAAUUAUUAACUCGGCUAUAACCAUAAACAGCUGGGGCUGCUGCAGCCACGUGGACCAGUCCAGCGCUGUCGUCAGAGCUGAGCAGGGACACGUGAGCAGUCCCGGAGGGCUGCUGAGCCCCGGGAUAAAUUGCUCCAGGCAUGUUUACUGUGGAUGCACUGGGCCGGGCCACGGGGGCCUGGGGAUGAAUGGAGGCUGCUGUCUUAUCCCCUGGCCAUGGCACUGGUGCCAGGAGUCUCUAAUAUGGGGACAAAAUGCCCCUUUUUUCACAGUUUUGCUGUAUUUUGCAGUAGCAGUGUGGUGGGUGGUUGUGCCAUGUGUGUCUUUGUGCCUUGGAGUGGGAAUGGGGUGCAGGUGGACUGUGUUUAAUGGCAGUCUUGGCCAGGAGGGCUGUGCCACCCUGUAGCUGUCACCAGCAUUGCAGCCAGCACUUUUUUUGGCCUAAUGAUGGUGGGGGUCAGCAUACUGCACCUCCAUCUCACCCAGUGCCACAAGAUUUGGGCUGGCAGGAGGACAAGGCAGUAAAGGGCCAUCAUGCUGGGGCACUCGCAGCAUCCCUGUGCCCAGUUAUCAAGGCAUGGGUACCUCCAGCUGCAUGUGCCUUUCACAGAGGAGGAUGUCACAGAGGUUUUUAGGUUUACAGUGAGUUUUUCUCUCUGUAAAUCUAGGGUUUACAAAGAAUUUUGGUAUAUUUAGCUAUGUGGCUGUGGAAAAUGAUACUUCAGGGUGGUCUGCAAGAGGAAGGGGAAAUUAUGAUGGUGCAAUGUGGAGCAGGACAGGGUUGGAGCCUUGCUCAGCUGAUGAGUGUGAGGGACAGGAGUAAGAGGAUGCUGCCUCUUACUCUUCAGUACUGGUCUGAGACAGCAACAUGCCUGGGGAGCAGAGGGCUGCCCCCAGUCUUCAAGUGCAGGGCUUUGGGGGUACAAAUGCACAGAGGGGAGGAAAUCCCCAAGAACUCGUGGAUGAGGUUUUAAACCCGCCAUGUCUGCUCUGUUGGGUGGAGGGGGGAUGCGGGGAAGCAAGUGUGCUUGGCAGGAUCCAACUGGUUGUACCUGCAUUACCCCAAGGCUUGGGGAGGGGAUUAGGUGUGCGCCUGGCCCUGCAAGCAGGGCGAUGUGGGAGGGUGUGCGUGCCCCAGGCAUGGGUGCACACCCAGCCGGGGCUGUGCCGGGAGGCCUUUGGGAAGGCAUGCAAGUGCACGCCAGCCCAUCGGCGGCGUGAACACCAGCCCUUGUGUGUAGGGUGAGCUGUAGCAGCACACGUGUGUGUGUGUGUGUGUGUGUGUGUGUGUUGAGGCCAUGGGCUUGCCGGCUGGGCUGGCAGCAGAGGUCUGUGCCAGGCUGACUUGCCAGGGCAGGAGCAGAAGCUGCAAGAGGCAGAUAUGGGGCAGAAGGGGAAUGAGAAACUUGGAAAUUUUUUUAUAACGGAAAUUUUCAUAAUGGAGUUUUUUGUAAAAUUUUCUAACUGGAAGAGGUUGCAGUUUUAUCAAGGAAAGGAGACUCUGGGAGUAUGAUGGCAAUUGCAAAUUGGAACAUUUUGUUUCUCAUCCCACCCUCCCAAACAAACUGCUUGUAUUUUUCUUUUCUCGUCCGAAACUGGGGGAAAGGGAAACAAGUUUCAAAAAGAAAACCAAAAAAUCCUGAAAAAACUUCAGACACCCCAAAACGAAGCUCGGGAAAAGGUCUAUUUUUAUUCAAACUUUCGCAGUAGGGAAGGAAUCCUUGCCCUUGCCGGUGCCGAGCUCCUCGGCGGGACACUGCUCCCUCAUCCCCAUCCCGGGGAGUGCCUGUACCGGCGCGGGGCCGGGGGGCAGCUCUGCGGGGACCCCCUUUCGGGCGUCAGCCCGGGCCCGUGGGCCCCCGGGCGGCGCGGGGCGGGGGAGCCGGUGCGGGGGGAGCGGGCCCCGCCGCCGCCGCCGCCGCCGCAGCCAUUGUGGUCCCGGCCGCGGCGCAGACAAAGGAAGCGCCCCCGCCCCGCCCCGCGCCCCGCCCGCCCCGCCCCGCGGCGGCCCCGCGCCGCCCGCCCGCCGCCGCCGCGCCGCCGCCGGACCCCCGCCCGCCGCCGCGCCGUGAGUCACCCCGCCCCCCCGCGCCCCCUUCCCCCCCGCGCAAGUUUCCCGGUCCCCCCCGCCCCGGUGGCGGCCCCGCUCGGGCGGCGGAGGUGAGGGCCGGGGUCCCGCCUGCGCCGCCCCCGCGUCUGCGAAGUUGUGCGCGGCCGCACCGCGCCGCCGCUCCCCACCGGGGCCUCGUACGGCCCGGGGUCCCCGCGGCAGCCCCCUACCCGCUCUCUGUUCCCCCGGCACGGCUCUCCCUGUCCCCAGCUCCCCUCUCCCUCCUCGGCUUCCCUCUCCAUCCUUACCCAGUUCUCCUGUCCCUCAUCCCUCCCCAGCAGCUCAGUGCAUCCUUGGCCCCUCAGCUCGUUCCCUCCCCUCCAGCUCUCUUGUCUGUCCUCUCCCUCCCUGCCUAUGGUGUUCCUCCCUUCCCCUGGCUCCCCUUUCUUUCCACCAUCUAUUGGCUUUUGGAGAGUCACCCCCAGCCUGGUGGGGUGCUGCCAGCAGCCCCUAUGCCCUUCUGUGCCCUGCUCCAUCCCAGUCCGUAGCUCCCUUUGUUCUUCUCCGGGUUCUUUUCCCUGCCGAAGCCCCUUGACAGCUGCCCCACACCCUCCUGGUCCCCCUGCCUGUGCUGUCACCGGGUUUAUGGGGCCAGUGCCCGGUUCUUGGGGCUGCUCACCUGCUGCACCUCACUGCUUGCUGCAACUUCAUCCUUGCUUACAGCUCAGAGGGUCCCACCAGCUUCCCACGGGUGCAAAGGGAAUAAAAGAUCCAAGGGGUGCAAACACAUGAGGGCUGCACAUCUUUCAAAAGCUGCCUUGCUGGGUGACCAAACACAGGGGGCCAUGGGCAUAGGGGGCUCAUUCUCCCUGGCAGAUAAAGCACUGGCUUGACCUGGGGCAGCCAGAAGUGGAGACCAAGCUGAGGGUGAGCACAGCAUCCUCAGGAGUGGGGAAGACCCAGCAGCUCCAAUUUAGGAGUCAGCAUGAGUGCCAGAGCUGUGGAGGGGUGUCUUACCUUGGCGGGUGUUUUCCUGGAGCCCCUUUGGUAGAGCCUGCUGUGGUAGACUGCCCUGAUCUCGGGUGUCUGGACUACUAGUCCCUGCCAGCCCGCCUGCUCGGGAUGGGUGAUAAGCACUACUGGGGCUCCCUUGGCUUGGGCAGCCCCCAAUCCCAUCCCAGCAGCCUCAGCUGGCAGGAACCUGCUGAGCCACUGCCAUCCCUUGCCAAAGCCAGUGCCGCAGCAGGAGCCAAAACCGGAGGUGUCAGCCACUCUCAGGGUGAGGUGUGAGCAAAGGGUUCCAAGGCUGUGGGGUUAACAGGGAGUCACCUUCUGGGGGCACACAGUGUGCACUUACCCCACACUGCAAACCAUCACCUGCUUUCUUCUCACCAGGAGGGUCUGAGCCUGCUCGAGGCUGGGCCAGGCAGGUGUGAGAACAAGCACCCUGUCCCAGGGUCUUCCCAGUUGUUCUCCACGUACUUUCCAUAGCACCUUGUCUGAGCAGGUUUGCAGCGACUCCUCCAGUGCUGGUCAGGUAUCUAUUGGUUCUUACUGCUACUGUUGCAAGUGUGGGUAAAUAUCAGUGUCCUUGUUCCUUUAAAGCCUUAGGUUUUGGAGAGUUCUCAUUGUGGGGGAAUUAGGGUUUUCACUGAAAUAGAACUGAAUAUGGUUUUUCCACUCCUGAUGCUGUACAAAUCCCAGCGAUCUGAGCAUGGCUUAAAGACUGAGUAGUGCUGAGCAGAACGACAUAAAGUUGUGUUGCCUCAAAGUGGAAAACUUGUGAUCUAAGGGGAAUAGGCUGGUGCUGGAAGGUUUGGUGACACAAAGGUUUUGCUGAUGUUUGGUGACUUUUCCUCUCACCAGGAGCAGGUCACAAUCCAUGUAAAAUAGGAAAAGGACAGUGAAAAGCCACAGAAGUUUAGUUGAAGCAAAGGUGCCCUAGGCUGGGGACCUGGAGCCACUUUCAGCUUCUUUUCAGAGAGCAGCAAUAGCUGGAGGGCCUGAGCUUGCCCAGCUCCUCAGGACGUGGGAGCAGAGGAUAUGGACCAGUCCAGCCCCAGGACUCUGUUCCUGUUCCAUGGCUGGCAGGGUGGCAGUAGUCCUUGGCCCAGAGUGGUCUCUCUCGGUGUGCCCUCUUUCAUGUGUUUGCAGCUCUGCACUGGCGUGAUUUGACAUCUGCAUUAACAAUACAAACCUGAGGUCCUAUGUGGUGGUGGCAGAACAGGAUAGCACUUCUCCUGGCCCUCUCUCUUGGAAACCUCCCAUUCUCUGAGUGAUCUGGGGGACAGGGUGCUCCUGCUGUUGUUUGCUCUGUGUGUGUGUUUGUGGGUUGUCACGCUUGCCGCAUGAGGUUUGCUGCCCCGUGGGUUGCUGUUGUCGUGUGGAGUUGUUACCAGGGAUGCUGGGGUAAAAGGGUUUCCCUGGGGCUGGGUUCCUCAUGCCUUCAGGAGCACUAGGCAGGUGUGCUUGACCGUACCAUGUCCUUUUGCUUCCUGUAGUUUUGGCCCCAUCCUGCACUGGUUGUCCAAAGGGCUGGCACCAGUGGCAGCAUGUGCUGCCCGUGCAGAGGUGCGAGUCCAACAACCACUGCAUUUGCUCUGUCCCCAGUGCUGCCGGCAGCCUGCAUGUCCCUCGUUCAGCCACUUCCAUAUUGCCUUUCAACCAAGUACUGAGAAGAGAGAAGUUCUGCUUGAGCAGGAGGGCAGAGCCUUGCCCUGGCAGCUCGAAGAAGCAAUGGAGGUGCUUUGUAAGCUGCACUGAGUAGGUUCCCGCCUUGCUCGCACUGUCCCUCCUCUCCACGGGCAGUCCGGUCCCUGUGGCAGGCGCUGCACGCCAGCCUCAUGCUUUCCCCCCGGGCGCACGCUGCCCCAGCGAGGCCAGCUGGAUCCUCGCCGCGGGAGUUAUCCAGCUUUUAUCCCCCCUCCGGAGCGGGCGGCUGGCCGGCUGCCAGGGCUGCGGGGCUCCACCUAGGAGGCAACAUGGAGCAAGCACGGCGGCCGGCGGCGGGGCCGCCUCUCUGGAGACUACGCGUCCCGGCGUGCCCGGCAGCGGCGGGAGCGAGGGGAGCGUUGCAUCCCGGGAUGGCGAAUCUCCAUGCGCCACGUGGGGCUGACAGCCUCCUGCGCCCGGGGCUGGGGUCCGCUGUGCCUCCCCUCCUCUCAGUGUAAGGACAGACCUCAGCCUCCUGCUGUCGCUUCCCUGCACUGUGGCUCUCGGCUCCGACUCUCCCAGGCGGGUUUUGUCCCUAUGGAGGGCUGCCCUGAGCAACAAGCCCACAAUACCAUGCAGAGCUGUGUAGUUUUGUGCCACCAUGUGCGUGGCAGGCAAGCGUCUGUGAGCAGGGAUGUUGGCUUCAUGCUCUGCAGGGCCAUCGGUAUGGUUAGCUGUAACUGAAUUUUUCUGUGUUGCCACAAAGCCUAGAAAACCUUUGAUGAUGAAAAUCCUAGUUUGUCAGGAGGCUUUUAUUCUAGGUAAGCUGACAGGGUUUUUUUCCCAGCCCCAUGGUUCCCACACGACAUUGUUCAUUUGUUUGCCAGUGCUGCACGGAUGUGUGCUGCAGGAGGGAUGUGAGCCUAGUCGCUGCAGGGUGGCAGGGCUCCAGGGUGAAUGGGUUUGGGAGAGAGGGAAAGUGUCUGAAAAUUUGAAAGGUGCAUUUCUGAGGCUGAAAGCGACAGCGUUUGAUUAUGGAUCAUCUUUGAGACAGUGAACUGAAAGGAGUAAUUAGGGACAGUGGGAUAUUUCCCUGAGAGUUGCAGGAAAUGACUGCCUCAUGGUAAGUUGAUAGUAGUGGAGCUGAAACUGGGUUAUCUGUGGGAUUGCAUCUGGGGCUUGCAGCCGCGGACGUGAUUCAAUUUUCUGGCUGUUUUGCAAUUGGCAGGGUGUGCUUUUCUCCCUUUUUUCCUCCUGAAGAAUUCCCCAUCUACAUGUCUGAAUCAUCUAAGGAAGAAAAUGGGAAAGGGGAGACUCCUGCUGUCCCUAGGUACUGCAGGGCAGUGCAGUUCCCUGGGGCCCCAGCUGAAUGUCCAGCUCCAGAGGAUGCCUUCCUGGGAGACCCUGGACCCUGGCAGAGCUGGGCCUGUGGGGAUUACGCUGAGCCCUGACCUGCAAAUCCACAUCCCAGCCAGGUUCUCCUCACCCGAUGCUUUCAGAUGGCACUGCUUUGCAUCCUACAUCAAGAUUGUCACUUUGUAAUAAUUAGCUGCAGGUAAUUAUCCCGUCUCUGGCUGUCCCCCUAAACUUGUGACCCAAUCUGCAGAGAAGAGCACCCUUGGGUUCAGAUGCUUUGUGUGCUAAUGUGGAGGACUUUUGCACUAAUAUUGCAGGAUGUGACCUGGGGCUGGGACGCCAUGCACGUGGUGUGGUGUGGGCAGGGAGGCAGCUUGUGGUCCACAUGAGCUCUGUGCAGCUUGGGAAAAGUGAGAGAGUAAAUCCCUGCAUGCAGCUGGAUUGCAUGCAGUGGUGAUGCAGGUUUUGCCUUCUGACAGGUCAGGACCAGGACCAGGCAGUGUCCUGGUUGGGGUCAGCCUCUGGAUGUCACUGAGUCCGUGGCACAUGGUCUCCUCCAAAAGUUGUACCUCGUCUUCCCUGGAGAGCCCAGUCUCAUGGGAGCUUCUGCUUCACCAGUUGUGCAUCUUUAAAGCAAACGGGCUUUCUGCAAAUUGAUAUUGCCACUGAUAAUGUCUCAGGUUGUGUCUUGGUGGGUUCCACCUGGGCUCCUGUGGGCUUAACAACAGCAUCAGGGCUUGCAACUGGCCUCUCCGAAUCCCCUCUAUUCCAAAGAAAAGGAGAAAGAAGAGGUGAAGGCAGGCUUGUGGGGGCAGACAAUGGUCUGCUCCAUGUGCCUCUGCCUGUCCCAGUCACUCUGAGUACUUUGUGUUUGCCUCCCAGCCCUGCCAACUUCCUAGACACCAGGCACUGUCACUGGGCAAAACCACGUGAAUUAUUUGAGAGCUGCCCUGCACCCAGUCCCAGAUAACACCCUCAUGCCAGUGGUACUGGCCUCGGAAGAUGUAUUUCUUCCCCGCUAUCAGGGCGCCUACACCCCAUCGAGGCAGCCCUACGUAACAAUGCCUCUAUUUACACUUUAAAGCCUCGUUAGGCAGCCAGGAAACAGGCACGGAGCAUUCCGGGAAGCACCGGCUGCCUUUAGCGAAGGCUGGCCUCUUUUCUUCCCGGGCUGCUGGGAGGAGCAGGACACUCCCCGGCUGAGCUGUAACCCUGCUGCCCCUUUCAAGCCCCACUUCUUCAUUUUUUUUCAUCAUUUAUGUUUUUAGCCUCUUCCUUGUUGGUGAGCUUUGCUGGUUACACAGAGAGCACACUGGCUGCCCAGACAGGGGUGGCUCCUGUCUGGUAGCGGGGCACCAAUUCCUGCCAGCAGCCACAGGUAUAGGAGGAACAAGAUGAUGCUGCUUUGCCUUUGUCCAUCAAAGAGCAGUUCUUUGCUAUUUGAUGAUGAACUGAAGUUAUGGGAGCUCAGGCUCAGGCUUUUUCUCCCUGCCUUCCAUGUCCCCUGCCCAGGCAGGCCGCUCCAUGGUGCUGGUUUUGACUCACAGUGCCCUGCUAUCUCCUGGCUGUGUUGGUUCUGUGAGGUGUCCACCGUUCUUUUGGUGCCUUGGGAAAUCUGAUGUUCCUCAGCUCUGUGAACUUGGCUGGGAUGUGAAUCAUUCCUGUUCCAGCAAACCCACCAGAGAGCGCACCACAAGAGCUUUCCUCAUAGGGCUGAUAGUUCACAAGCAGGAACAGCAAAGGAGAAGGCACAUGGAGGGUUGGGCAGUGCUGGGCUGUACAUGAGUGACGGGCAGAGCACCUGCUUUCUGUUCCUGGGCAGUCGCCCACCUGGAGCUGUUCACUUGCCCACACUUUUGCAGCAGGUCUGUGGACCUGGCCUCGGCCGAGGAUGCUGAGCUGUGAGAUCCCUUCCUGGGGUUCCCUUCUCCCACGCCUCCACGCUGAAGAGGAGCCAUGGAGCCACCCACCUGGCCACAAGCACUGCGCUGUUUGCCCAGACCUGCCUGGGCCGGUAGAUCAGCAGCUGCAGCGUCAGCCUGGUUUUUUCCCUUGCUGAAUGUUUUUGUGUCACUGAGCCAGCACCUUUGAGCGGUCACAGGAAGCAUCUCAUGUUGCCCUGUGUUCCACAGGGGCAUUGCAUGCUCAGCCACCAAGCAGCAUCCCUGUUUGCACGAAGCCUGCCUGCAUCACCUCUCCUGUGCUCAAAGCAGGAGGCAGAGCAGGAGUGUGCAGAAAGAGUAGCUAGAGCCAGGCACUUGGGAUGGGCCACAUCCUGCUGUCAGUGUCACUGCACCUGGCUGGACAGGGCUUGUAGGUAGCUGGGGCAGUAUGAAGAAAAGAGGAGGUGAUGGAGGGAUGUCCCACACCAGGCAUCAUGACCUAUGUAUCCUGACACAGGUCACUCAGAGCUCCAAAAGCAGUGUGUCUGCAUAUUAACCUGCUGGGAAAGCCCCAGGAUGGAAGUGGAGCCUUGGGUAGAAGUGAUGGCCUGGCUCAUCUGCUGUCCCACCUCCAGCAGCAGGGAGCUAGGGAAGAGCAUGAGAAGCACAAUGGAUGGAGAGUGAUAUGUCUCCCUGGUCUCACCACCCCAGGAGACCUUCCUGCAUCCUGAAAAACAAGAUGGGGACUGAGGACAACAAGAAGCCUUGGGAAUUUAGUCUUCCUAUGUCUCAUCAGUGAAUAAAAACAGAAUUGAAGGAUGAGACCUGCUGGGUCUGAUUUUUUUCUGCCCCUCAGGACAUGAUGACCAGCAGUGCUUCAGCCACUUCUGUCUCUGCCUAAUGAAAUUGUUUGUUUUCAACAGAAGUUUGGGAGUUUUCGGAAGUUUCCUAUGUGCUGAACAUGGUUCAGUGUCAUGUUGUAUAACAACAGAAUGGAGGAAAUAGAAAUGUUGUGUUUCUAGUACAGUUUGGACUGAAUUAUUGUCUGUUAGGCACAAGUUGAUGUGGAUAAAGCAGAAAGCAAAAACCCCUCUGCAGCAGCAACUGACUAGCACCGAACUCCCUAUCAAAACUUGUUUUAUCUAUGAAAACAUUCAGUAAGAGCAAGGGGCUGACAUUGUUAGCAGCCAUAUGAGAAAUUGUGCCAUGUCCCACUUAUCCUCACCGCAGGCAGGCAGGAGUGGGAACGGUGAGCCACAGCUGAGUGGCUGGGCUGGCUCCAGCCCCACAGGACUGGAGAUCCUGCAGAGUGCUGGAGAGGAGCUGGGUUCAGCUGCUGUGGGGAAACGUGGUGAAAAGGCCCCCAGAAAAUCAAAAAAUAAAACACUUGUUUCCCCCGUUGCAAGUUGGAUUUAAUGCUUGGGAGGUGACCCCUUCUAUUUUUGACCAGCCCUUGCUCAGCAGUGUGUGCAAUCCCUGUGACUGCUGACUUGGGGUCCCAGAUGGCUUGGCAGGGGUGAAGGUGAUGCCUUGGUUAUUCACCUCUAUUGGCUAACGAGCUCUUUGUUGCAACAAGCUGGACAUCUUGGGUCCCUGAGCUGAUGGCACUGCUUUUCUUGACUCUGAUGUUUCUUACCCCCCUCUUGUAUCCAUCGUGGUCGAGCUGCUGCUCCAAUCCUGCCCGGCGCCCUUCUGCACAGCGUGGCCGUGGAGUGGAACCUAGGGGUGCAGUGGUGUGUCUGGCGCCUCUGGGACGCUUCCUUCCCCUGCUGGGUUUGCUUUCUGCAGCACCAAUCCUGGCAGUUGGUGGGCGUUGGGAAGUGCCCGUCCCGGGGUCCCGGGGCUGUGUGCAGCCGAUGGGGACCCCGCCUUGGCCCCGGCCGGCUCCGGGCCCCGCCUGCGGCGGGACGGGCAGACGUGUCUGUGCGCGGCGGGGCCGGCUGAGCCGGUGGAGCCGGAGCUGCCUGGCAGCUCGCCCGCUGCUGCGCCCAUCCAGGUCAGCCCGUCUGCCCGCCCGCCUGCCCGCCGGGAGGGAGCCGCGUGCCUCAGCAGCAUCCUGGCGCAGCGUGCCGGGUCCUGCCAGCAGCCGCUGCUCCGGGAACCUGCCCUUGUGGUGGGAGUGGGCUGGUGAGCGUGCGAGCCCCUUGCUGCUGGCUCUGCCUGGCAAACCUUAUGUCUUCUAUUCUGGGGCCCCAGGUUGUUUUCAGGAUGUGUGCUGGUUUCACACAGUAUGUGCUCCGUUGCAGACCGCAUCACACCCCAUACCCAUCUAUGGGCUCUUUGUCCUUUGCCCUGGUGCUGUGGUGGGCAGUGAGGCUUUGGGGUGGUUUGAUCACAGCUGGGGGCUGGUGUGUGGGAUCUCUCUGUCCGCCUGGAUCCGGGUGGCCACUGGCCUGCCUGAGUGGCAGAUGGUGGCUGCCUGGGGACCCGCCAUCCAUCCCUCUGGGCAAUUAUUCACCCGUCACCAUGACGAUAGAAAGGUCAGCAAAAAGAUCCUGUGUGAUUCCGGGGUUGGUCAGUGGGAUUAGGAGCAGUGUGGGAGGGAGGGCUAGGGCCCAGCCAGCUCCUCUUCAGGCUCACCAGCUGGACUGUCCCCCUCGGGCACAUCCUCAGAGCCCAGCUAGCUGAGAACUGACAAACUUUGGGUACCAGUGAGAAACCCUUGGGAUGCGGUUGGGCCCCUCUGGCUGCUGAUCCUGAGAGUUCAGCCUUGACCCUGUGAGUUCCAUCCUGCACAGGGGAGGCCUGGACCUGUAUGUGGGAUGAAGCAAGUAGGCUGACAUCAGGGGGGAAGAAGAGGAGGGAUGGGGCUGUGCUGAUGGAGGUUUUACUGGUGCAUCCUUAUGUCUCC